AGAGUUUGAUCAUGGCUCAGAUUGAACGCUGGCGGCAGGCCUAACACAUGCAAGUCGAACGGUAACAGGAAGAAGCUUGCUUCUUUGCUGACGAGUGGCGGACGGGUGAGUAAUGUCUGGGAAACUGCCUGAUGGAGGGGGAUAACUACUGGAAACGGUAGCUAAUACCGCAUAACGUCGCAAGACCAAAGAGGGGGACCUUCGGGCCUCUUGCCAUCGGAUGUGCCCAGAUGGGAUUAGCUAGUAGUGGGGUAACGGCUCACCUAGGCGACGAUCCCUAGCUGGUCUGAGAGGAUGACCAGCCACACUGGAACUGAGACACGGUCCAGACUCCUACGGGAGGCAGCAGUGGGGAAUAUUGCACAAUGGGCGCAAGCCUGAUGCAGCCAUGCCGCGUGUAUGAAGAAGGCCUUCGGGUUGUAAAGUACUUUCAGCGGGGAGGAAGGGAGUAAAGUUAAUACCUUUGCUCAUUGACGUUACCCGCAGAAGAAGCACCGGCUAACUCCGUGCCAGCAGCCGCGGUAAUACGGAGGGUGCAAGCGUUAAUCGGAAUUACUGGGCGUAAAGCGCACGCAGGCGGUUUGUUAAGUCAGAUGUGAAAUCCCCGGGCUCAACCUGGGAACUGCAUCUGAUACUGGCAAGCUUGAGUCUCGUAGAGGGGGGUAGAAUUCCAGGUGUAGCGGUGAAAUGCGUAGAGAUCUGGAGGAAUACCGGUGGCGAAGGCGGCCCCCUGGACGAAGACUGACGCUCAGGUGCGAAAGCGUGGGGAGCAAACAGGAUUAGAUACCCUGGUAGUCCACGCCGUAAACGAUGUCGACUUGGAGGUUGUGCCCUUGAGGCGUGGCUUCCGGAGCUAACGCGUUAAGUCGACCGCCUGGGGAGUACGGCCGCAAGGUUAAAACUCAAAUGAAUUGACGGGGGCCCGCACAAGCGGUGGAGCAUGUGGUUUAAUUCGAUGCAACGCGAAGAACCUUACCUGGUCUUGACAUCCACGGAAGUUUUCAGAGAUGAGAAUGUGCCUUCGGGAACCGUGAGACAGGUGCUGCAUGGCUGUCGUCAGCUCGUGUUGUGAAAUGUUGGGUUAAGUCCCGCAACGAGCGCAACCCUUAUCCUUUGUUGCCAGCGGUCCGGCCGGGAACUCAAAGGAGACUGCCAGUGAUAAACUGGAGGAAGGUGGGGAUGACGUCAAGUCAUCAUGGCCCCUUACGACCAGGGCUACACACGUGCUACAAUGGCGCAUACAAAGAGAAGCGACCUCGCGAGAGCAAGCGGACCUCAUAAAGUGCGUCGUAGCCCGGAUUGGAGUCUGCAACUCGACUCCAUGAAGUCGGAAUCGCUAGUAAUCGUGGAUCAGAAUGCCACGGUGAAUACGUUCCCGGGCCUUGUACACACCGCCCGUCACACCAUGGGAGUGGGUUGCAAAAGAAGUAGGUAGCUUAACCUUCGGGAGGGCGCUUACCACUUUGUGAUUCAUGACUGGGGUGAAGUCGUAACAAGGUAACCGUAGGGGAACCUGCGGUUGGAUCACCU
rnacentral:rRNA from 1 species